rnacentral:ncRNA from 2 species
UUGAUCCUUCAAAAGAUACCUCAUAUAAAUUCGAGAAUAUGGCUCGAAAGUUUCUACCUAGCUACCGUAAACAGCUGGACUAUGAGGAGACGAUUUUUUUGU